rnacentral:rRNA from 1 species
UAACACGUUGGAACCUGCCUCGAACUCAGGGAUAGCCCACCUAACGGUGGAUUAAUACCGGAUAGUCCCGAAAGGGUAAAGAUUUUUCGGUUCGAGAGGGUCCUGCGGCCUAUCAGCUUGUUGGUGAGGUAACGGCUUACCAAGGCAAUGACGGGUAGCUGGUCUGAGAGGAUGAUCAGCCACAAUGGGACUGAGACACGGCCCAUACUCCUACGGGAGGCAGCAGUAAAGAAUCUUUCGCAAUGGGGGAAACCCUGACGAAGCAAUACCGCGUGGACGAUGACGGCCGAAAGGUUGUAAAGUCCUUUUCUGGAGGAAGAAUUCUGACGGUACUCCAGGAAUAAGCACCGGCUAACUCCGUGCCAGCAGCCGCGGUAAUACGGAGGGUGCAAGCGUUACCCGGAAUUAUUGGGCGUAAAGCGUCCGCAGGCGGUUAAUUAAGUCGAAUAUUAAAUCUUGAAGCCCAACUUUAAGGCUGUAUUCGAAACUGGUUAACUAGAGACUUUCAGAGGUGUGUAGAAUUCUGUGUGUAGGGGUAAAAUCCGUAGGUACACAGAGGAAUACCAAAAGCGAAGGCAGCACACUGGGAAAGUUCUGACGCUCAUGGACGAAAGCGUGGGUAGCGAACGGGAUUAGAUACCCCGGUAGUCCACGCCGUAAACGAUGGAUACUAGGUGUAGGAGGGCUCGAC